GCCAGAGUGGCGAAAUUGGUAGACGCAGGGGAUUCAAAAUCCCCCGGGGUAAAACCCGUGCCGGUUCGAGUCCGGCCUCUGGUACCA
rnacentral:tRNA from 1 species